rnacentral:lncRNA from 1 species
UCCUCGUCCCAAACUGAAACCCUACUCCAAGCUCCCCGCCGGCCACAUCCUCUUAAAUCCAAACCUUAAUCUACCCAAAAAUCUCUUGUUUCUGCCUUCAAAUCUAGGGUAAACACUUCCUCUCGGCCUAUCCUUGAUCAAAGCCCUCUCUUUCUUGCUCUCUACCAAACCCUUAAGCCCUCAUCUCAAAAAUCCUAAACAAACUCUUCAAAAUCCCUUACUCCUCUUCAUUUCCCUCUAUCUUUCACCCUCCACUAUAAUGUUCAUCGGUUCUCUUGCUCUCAUUGAGACAAUAGCCCCCAA